AAUACUUCCCUCCAAAAACCCGUCUGCGGUGGAUGCUGGUGUCCCAUCCAACUUCUUGUACUGCACCUUUUAUUUUGAUGUGGAGUAGGUACUGCUAGUAGGACAUGGGCCGGCGAUCUAAAGGGCGAAAGGGCCGUUAAUACUACGACUUCGUAUGUGAAGCUAUCAAUUUAAUCAAUCAAUUUACAAAGCAGGGUCUCUUCAAGCCAGGGAAACAUGCAUAUUAGGUCUGCCAAUUUCUACAUACAGCUUAUAGCUUAUAGUAUAUAGCAUUUCCUAUAUUAGAUUAUAAAUACAGCCAUCAUAUUUACAUUAGUAAAGUCGCGCAGUCUCAUAAUACGUAGUAUACGACACGCAAAGCCUUCUUAUUCGGUUUUAUCUCUUGCGUCAUUUUAGUCAUAGCCUUACUCUGAGCACACAUUACGGGGUUACAACUUAAUUAUUUAAUUUGUAGAAUGAAUCUCAAGUGUUCAUUUAAAUAAAGUUAUUAAAAAAAGUGCUAACAAGAACAUUGCGAAAAUCACAAAUGAAUUCGUUUAGUGGGACGCGUGUUGGUGCCGACGCGGCGGCGGCAUCCAGUACAGUCAUCCACCGACAGGACUCACUAAGCGGAGGUAUGACAUUGUCGUCCUGCAGUAGCGUGAGCGGCUGUCCCUCGCAAUCGUACGAAUACGCAAUUGAAGAAUUAGUCGGAGAAUGGGCAGGUGAACUCACGGGCUCGAUUGAGAGAAUUUGCUGGCAUUGGCCCUAGCAAGAGCAGUGCUUCGCAGAAUCUACCACCUGAUCGCGAACCAGUGUUUAUCGUUAAUGUAAAGACUGAACAUUAGCCGGGAGGGAGCGUAGCCUUGCGGAACUCUGGCCGAGAUUUGUCGUUGCAAACAGUGAGUUCCCUCGACACCAAAACGUAAUGUCUAUAAAUUAUAAUACAUUACUUAAGCUAUUAACCGAUGGUCACAACUUGACAACCAGUGCAACAACACUAAGCCACAUAUUAGCGACCACAACAAAGCAUUAUCCAAGAACUAUAUAAUCAUCAUCCGCAUGUAUAAUCUUUUUGAAUGAGUCCAAAAUUAAUUUAACUUAAACAAUAUUAUGUACUGCUGAACUGUGUGAAGUAACAGUUAAAGUCCUAUUUCCUCCUCUGUAUGUCAACUGACUUUUGUUUUUAUAGUUUUUACGUGCUUUAGGGGACUUUUUGGCGGGAACGCGAGGAGUGAAGUUGUGUGAUUUGUUAUUUUUGUCUAUUUAGUGUUUCGUCAGGUUUAAAUGUGUAAUAACGGUGGUUUAUUAACUAUUUAGUAUCUGUGAAAGUGCACAUAUGUGGGAAAAUAAAACAAAGCCGCUGGACGUAACUUCUCGGGAUCCUACAAAAAGUUCACUGAAAAAGUCUCAGUAAAUGACCACUGUUUUGCUAAGAUUAUAUUCAUCCCAUAUCAUCUCAUCUCAUUUCAUUUCAUGUUAUCAUUUUACAUAAAAAUAAGAAUAUAAAUUAAAAUAAGACAUGACCUAAAGGCCUCAGUUACCAGGACAUAAAAUCCCUUAAAAAAACGUGCUUUAGGGUAACAACUAUUUUUAUUGGAGAUAGCUUUUUCUUCAAACGUCAAUAACAAAAAUAAAGAGAAAAUAUUAUACAUAAAAAUAAUCUAAGUCGUAAUUGUUUAAUUAAACUAGUUUUUGGAAUUCGAUUUGGAGUGGUCGUUCAUUAGCACCUCAAGAUUUAGAUUAAUUUUAUGUAAUAAGGACAUUUUCUCUUUUGUUUUGUUUUUGAUAUUUUAUUCUGCGGGAAUUCGAACACCGGUGCAUCGCUAGAUACGAAUGCACCGGACGUCUUAUCCUUUAGGCCACGACGACUUCAUAUUAAAUUAUAAUUAUAAUAUUUCCAUAUUAAAUUUUCUAAUGAUUUCCUAAUGUAAUGGCGUUUGACAUAAUAUUAACAGAAUGCGUGCUGCAAAUAUCGUAAAAGAGGGUGUAAAAAAACUGAAUAUUGUUUAAAACAAAUGUUUCGUUCCGAAUUAUAUUGAUACAAUAUAAAAUAUUUCACUGCCGUGAAGCAGUAAUGCGUUUCGGUUUGAAGAGUGGAGCAGCCGUUAUAACUAUACUGAAAUCUUAGCACUUAUAUGUCAAGGUGGGUAGUGCAUUUACGUUGUAGAUGUCCAUGGGCUCCAGUAACCACUUAACACCAGAUGGGCUGUGAGCUCGUCCACCCACCCAAGCAAUAAAAAAAAUAUAUAAAUGCAUAAGAGGAUGUAAAAACUGAAUUUUAAGGUUUACAACAAAUCGUUGUUAUUGGACCAAUGAACGUUGUGUGCGUGUGUUCAAAUAACGUUAUUUACUUUUAUUAAUAUAAUGUAUUUUACAAGUAAUUAAAUAAAACUAUUAAAAUUAACUGUCA